GGGACGAACGCUGGCGGCGUGCUUAACACAUGCAAGUCGAGCGGUGAUCCUCCUUUCGGGAGGUGAUCAGCGGCGAACGGGUGAGUAACACGUGGGCAACCUGCCCCUCACACUGGGAUAACCUCGGGAAAACCGGGGCUAAUACCGGAUACGACCUCGAGCGGCAUCUCUUGAGGUGGAAAGCUCCGACGGUGAGGGAUGGGCCCGCGGCCUAUCAGCUUGUUGGUGGGGUAAUGGCCUACCAAGGCGACGACGGGUA
rnacentral:rRNA from 1 species